CAGCCGCCGCGGUAAUACGUAGGUGGCAAGCGUUGUCCGGAAUUAUUGGGCGUAAAGGGCUCGCAGGCGGUUUCUUAAGUCUGAUGUGAAAGCCCCCGGCUCAACCGGGGAGGGUCAUUGGAAACUGGGAAACUUGAGUGCAGAAGAGGAGAGUGGAAUUCCACGUGUAGCGGUGAAAUGCGUAGAGAUGUGGAGGGACACCAGUGGCGAAGGCGACUCUCUGGUCUGUAACUGACGCUGAGGAGCGAAAGCGUGGGGAGCGAACAGGAUUAGAUACCCCCGUAGUCCCUGUCUCUUAUAC
rnacentral:rRNA from 1 species